rnacentral:rRNA from 1 species
UACGUAGGGUGCAAGCGUUGUCCGGAAUUAUUGGGCGUAAAGAGCUCGUAGGCGGCUUGUCGCGUCGACUGUGAAAACCCGCGGCUCAACUGUGGGCUUGCAGUGGGUACGGGCAGACUAGAGUGCGGUAGGGGAGAUUGGAAUUCCUGGUGUAGCGGUGGAAUGCGUAGAUAUCUGGAGGAACACCGGUGGCGAAGGCGGCAUCCUGGACCAACACUGACGCUGAGUGAGCGAAAGCCAGGGGAGCAAACGGGG